CAUCUCCCAUUGUCAUCUGGCAGCCAGACCACUCUUAUAAACAGAAGGGGCUUUCAAAGGAUGUUUCCUGCUGUUUUGCCAGGAGGGGACGCUCUACACUGACUGGCAGUGGCUCUGCAGAAUUACAGACAGAGGAUAGUCUCAGCCCUGCCUGAAGACGCCAUUGGGGAUUGAACCUGGAACCUUCUGCAUGCAAAGCAGCCACUCUACCACUGAGCUAUGGUCCUCCCUAAACACACAAACAGAAGCACAAGGUCAGUUAAGUAACAACCAUAUGUAGCUGCCGUAUUCUGAGUCAGACUCUUGGGUGCAUCCAGCUCAAUACUGUCUACACUG